rnacentral:lncRNA from 1 species
AUGCAUUGUUUCAAACACGCUUUCAUCUUUUUUAAAAGGUAUAAUAUAAGCACAUUUAAUUUUUUUAUUUCUGUUCGUAAAGGCGGAGAAAGGACCUUAAGAAAUGACAUAAAUUAUGUUUAUUUAAAUGAACUAUUAACAUAUGAAAAAAAAAGUAUAAAAGACAAUAUAAUAAAUAACAAAAAAAAUAAAAUAAAAUAUUUAAUUAAAUUAAAUAAAGUAAAUGGUGGUAUACAAUUAAAAUGUACAACUUCUUUAAUUUAUUUAUUAUCAUUAAGAUGUAAAUAUAUUGAAAGUAUAUGGUUUAACGUUUCAAAAAAUGUACCUUGUACAUCUAUAGCUAGCUUAAAAAGUAUCAUAACAAAUAUUGACUGGAAUAAAUAUAUAAACUAUGAAGAUUUAAAAUAUAUUUCUUUAAAAAUUAUAUGUACGAAUUCGAAGUUAUUCGAUGUAUCGGCUAUUAAAGAGGCAAUUAACGAAUCCUUACGUUUGGUUGUGCAUAAGCAUGACACAAGUGGUUAUUUAUUUAACGACAAAAAUGUGAAUGACAGAAGAAGCGACCAAUCAAUAAAUCAAUCAAUAAACCAAACAAAAGAUCAAUCAAUAAACCAAACAAAAGAUCAAUUAAUAAACCAAACAAGAGAUCAAUUAAUAAACCAAACAAAAGAUCAAUUAAUAAACCAAACAAAAGAUCAAUCAAUAAACCAAACAAAAGAUCAUUCAAUAAACCAAUCAAUAAAUCAAUCAAUCUCCAGUUUAACUAUUAGAGAAGGUAAUGACACAUUAUAUAAUUUAUCUAAAAUGUAUAAUAAAAAAAAAAGUGUUAAUAACAAUGUUGAUACGUUUUGGAACUUAAUUUAUGUCCAUAUUGAUGAAAACAUAAGUAACAUAAAUUUAAAAUUUAGUGGUAAAUUAUCACCUCGUUUUUAUGAAUAUGUACAUAUGCCUGAACUUGAAUUUGUUAAAAAUUUUGAAGAAAGUAAUACAAUUAAUUUUAAUUCUCUUUUUAAUGAAAAAUAUCAAAUUAAAAAUAAAAAAAUAAAAAACAUUGUUCAUAAUAGUAUCCCUUUUUGGUCUAUUUCGGAGGAAAAAAAAAAGUUAAAUAUAGAUUAUAAUAAUAGCCUAAUUGAAACAGAUGAAAAUUCAAAACAUUAUAGAUAUAUUUAUUUUCGUGAUAAGGGGGUGAACAAAUAUAUAAAUAAUAACCAUUCGAAAAAUGAUACUGCCAUUAAUAUAAAAGAAAGAACACAUAAUAGCGUUUUAAUGAAAAUUAAUGAUAACGAUGAACAUAGGGUAAAUUGCAAUAAAAAAAAUAAAAAUGUAAACAACAGUAUCAGUAACAGUAGCAGUAACGGUACUAGCAACAGUAUCAGUAACAGUAGCAGUAACGGUACUAGCAACAGUAUAAGCAAAAGUACUAACGACAGUACUAGCGACAGUACUAGCAACAGUACUAGAAACAGUACUAGCAAUAGUAUAAGCAACAGUACUAGAAACAGUACUAGCAACAGUACUAGCAAUAGUACUAGCAACAGUACUAGCAACAGUAUAAGCAACACUACUAGCAACACUACAAAUGGCGUCACAAAAUAUAAUCCCCAAUUAUAUAACAAUAUUAAUACUUACUUAAAUAAUAUGGAAAUAAAAAGAAUGAAUUAUUACAAUAACGUUUAUUUUUUAUCAGAUGAUUGUUAUGAUACAGUUAGUUGUGUAUAUGCAUUAAUAAUUCAAAAAUGUUUAAAAAAAAAAAAAAGAAAAUAUAAAUAUUAA